UUCAGUACCAGCAUUGUAAUGAAUUUAGUAAGUGCUGAGCCAGCGGAUUUCAGUUGGGUUGGGUGGCAGAGCAGCUGGGCCAGAGUUUGCUGGGUAGGGAUUAGCAACAUACAACUUGCAGAGCCACAUCGCUUUCUGUAUAUCACGCCUUUUCAUUUUGAAACAGGAUAGUAUUAUGGGAGAAAGACACUUGAAAACAACUGUUCAUUUGGGAGUGUGGUAAGGAUGACGUCACUGGCCAGGCUGUUGUAAUCAGGAAUACAGAGGUGGGAAUCUCUUGAGAGACUGAGAUCCAAUCUUCAGAGCAAAGGGGACAAUCCAGAUCUUUUCUGUGAAGGUGUUUUAUUCAUAAGAAUAAAGGACCUCAUUCUGACAACUGCAUGACCUUCCCUUAGUGUGUGAGCUGCUCAUAUACUGCACAGUCAAUCAGUCAGCCUUCCAGAACUUGUUAAGUGCUGAUUUACUUUUCAUAUCUGGCCCUAAAACCUUCUUUACUAUAUUGCAUCUGUCCUUUUGUCUUUCUGUAUAAUUUGUAUCAAUGUAGCAUCAUAAAAAUAUGAUCAUUUCACCAGAGAUGUUAUGAAAAGGAUAUUGGUUAUUAAAACUUAAUAAAAACAAAACAAACAAACAAAAAAAACAACAAGUGUGGUAUUCCCCUAACCAUUCUGAAACCCCUCUGGCCGAAUAGAACAAACAAGAAUCGGGAAUGCUAAAGAAAUCCGGUCUCUGACCGGCCGCAGCAUUCUUAACCCUGUAUUGGAUCUCUAGAAUAAAGGCUCAGAGGCAUUGCCAACUGAAAGAACAGACAAAUCUUUGAAGU